UACGAAGGGGGCUAGCGUUGCUCGGAAUUACUGGGCGUAAAGCGCACGUAGGCGGGUCGUUAAGUCGGGGUGAAAUCCUGGAGCUCAACUCCAGAACUGCCUUCGAAACUGACGAUCUUGAGUUCGGGAGAGGUGAGUGGAACUGCGAGUGUAGAGGUGAAAUUCGUAGAUAUUCGCAAGAACACCAGUGGCGAAGGCGGCUCACUGGCCCGAUACUGACGCUGAGGUGCGAAAGCGUGGGGAGCAAACAGGG
rnacentral:rRNA from 1 species